GGGGUUGUGGCUCGGUGGUAGAGCACUUGCCUCGGAUGCAUGAGGCCAUGGGUUCGGUACCCAGCACCA
rnacentral:tRNA from 1 species